rnacentral:rRNA from 1 species
UGAGGAAUAUUGGUCAAUGGACGAGAGUCUGAACCAGCCAAGUAGCGUGCAGGAUGACGGCCCUAUGGGUUGUAAACUGCUUUUGUUUGGGAAUAAUCGACAUUACGUGUAAUGUUUUGCAUGUACCAUUCGAAUAAGGACCGGCUAAUUCCGUGCCAGCAGCCGCGGUAAUACGGAAGGUCCAGGCGUUAUCCGGAUUUAUUGGGUUUAAAGGGAGUGUAGGCGGUUGGUUAAGCGUGUUGUGAAAUGUAGAUGCUCAACAUCUGACUUGCAGCGCGAACUGGCUGACUUAAAUACACACAACGUAGGCGGAAUUCAUGGUGUAGCGGUGAAAUGCUUAGAUAUCAUGAAGAACUCCGAUUGCGAAGGCAGCUUACGGGAGUGUUACUGACGCUUAAGCUCGAAGGUGCGGGUAUCGAACAGG